UUCAGUGUUCUUUUCCACCGCAACAAUAACAUAUAGUUUCUGAACUAUUUGCUUUUAGAUUCUCAUUAUAUCGUGCUUGUGGCAGAGUGACCAACUUCAGGUUGUCAUAUCUCUCCUUUAAGCCAUUCCACAAGAUAGGUGCAUCUUUGAUUGUGAUAUAUUCAAUUUUCAAACCUUCAUCAAGGUGAUGGCGCAAGAAAAUCAAGGCCUUAGCACAGUUUCAAACCUUCAUCAAGGUGAUNNN
rnacentral:lncRNA from 1 species